GACGAACGCUGGCGGCGCGCCUAACACAUGCAAGUCGAACGAGCGAGAGAGAGCUUGCUUUCUCAAGCGAGUGGCGAACGGGUGAGUAACGCGUGAGGAACCUGCCUCAAAGAGGGGGACAACAGUUGGAAACGACUGCUAAUACCGCAUAAGCCCACGGGUCGGCAUCGACCAGAGGGAAAAGGAGCAAUCCGCUUUGAGAUGGCCUCGCGUCCGAUUAGCUAGUUGGUGAGGUAACGGCCCACCAAGGCAACGAUCGGUAGCCGGACUGAGAGGUUGAACGGCCACAUUGGGACUGAGACACGGCCCAGACUCCUACGGGAGGCAGCAGAGGGGAAUAUUGCACAAUGGGGGAAACCCUGAUGCAGCGACGCCGCGUGGAGGAAGAAGGUCUUCGGAUUGUAAACUCCUGUUGUUGAGGAAGAUAAUGACGGUACUCAACAAGGAAGUGACGGCUAACUACGUGCCAGCAGCCGCGGUAAAACGUAGGUCACAAGCGUUGUCCGGAAUUACUGGGUGUAAAGGGAGCGCAGGCGGGAAGACAAGUUGGAAGUGAAAUCCAUGGGCUCAACCCAUGAACUGCUUUCAAAACUGUUUUUCUUGAGUAGUGCAGAGGUAGGCGGAAUUCCCGGUGUAGCGGUGGAAUGCGUAGAUAUCGGGAGGAACACCAGUGGCGAAGGCGGCCUACUGGGCACCAACUGACGCUGAGGCUCGAAAGUGUGGGUAGCAAACAGGAUUAGAUACCCUGGUAGUCCACACCGUAAAC
rnacentral:rRNA from 1 species